CCUACGGGAGGCAGCAGUGAGGAAUAUUGGUCAAUGGACGGAAGUCUGAACCAGCCAAGUAGCGUGCAGGAUGACGGCCCUAUGGGUUGUAAACUGCUUUUAUAAGGGAAUAAAGUGAGAGUCGUGACUCUUUUUGCAUGUACCUUAUGAAUAAGGACCGGCUAAUUCCGUGCCAGCAGCCGCGGUAAUACGUGCCAGCAGCCGCGGUAAUA
rnacentral:rRNA from 1 species